UACGUAGGGGGCAAGCGUUGUCCGGAUUUAUUGGGCGUAAAGAGCGUGUAGGCGGCCAGACAGGUCAGCUGUGAAAACUCGAGGCUCAACCUCGAGACGUCGGUUGAAACCGUCUGGCUAGAGUCCGGAAGAGGAGAGUGGAAUUCCGAGUGUAGAGGUGAAAUUCGUAGAUAUUCGGAGGAACACCAGUGGCGAAGGCGGCUCACUGGUCCGGUACUGACGCUGAGGUGCGAAAGCGUGGGGAGCAAACAGG
rnacentral:rRNA from 1 species